UGGGGAAUUUUGGACAAUGGGGGAAACCCUGAUCCAGCCAUCCCGCGUGUGCGAUGAAGGCCUUCGGGUUGUAAAGCACUUUUGGCAGGAAAGAAACGUCAUGGGUUAAUACCCCGUGAAACUGACGGUACCUGCAGAAUAAGCACCGGCUAACUACGUGCCAGCAGCCGCGGUAAUACGUAGUGUGCAAGCGUUAAUCGGAAUUACUGGGCGUAAAGCGUGCGCAGGCGGUUCGGAAAGAAAGAUGUGAAAUCCCAGAGCUCAACUUUGGAACUGCAUUUUUAACUACCGGGCUAGAGUGUGUCAGAGGGAGGUGGAAUUCCGCGUGUAGCAGUGAAAUGCGUAGAUAUGCGGAGGAACACCGAUGGCGAAGGCAGCCUCCUGGGAUAACACUGACGCUCAUGCACGAAGGCGUGGGGAGCAAACAGG
rnacentral:rRNA from 1 species